rnacentral:rRNA from 1 species
GACGAACGCUGGCGGCGUGCUUAACACAUGCAAGUCGAACGGAAAGGCCCCUUUGGGGGUACUCGAGUGGCGAACGGGUGAGUAACACGUGAGUAACCUGCCCUUGACUUCGGGAUAACUUCAGGAAACUGGGGCUAAUACCGGAUAGGAAUCCUUGCUGCAUGGUGGGGGUUGGAAAGCUUCGGCGGGUUUGGAUGGACUCGCGGCUUAUCAGCUUGUUGGUGGGGUAGUGGCUUACCAAGGCUUUGACGGGUAGCCGGCCUGAGAGGGCGACCGGCCACAUUGGGACUGAGAUACGGCCCAGACUCCUACGGGAGGCAGCAGUGGGGAAGAUUGCACAAGGGGCGGAAGCCUGAUGCAGCAACGCCGCGUGCGGGAUGACGGCCUUCUGGUUGUAAACCGCUUUCAGCAGGGGCGAAGCUUGUGGUGACGGUACCUGCAGAAGAAGCACCGGCUAACUACGUG